ensembl:lncRNA
CUCUUCCCAGAACUCAUUUAAGGGUUGGCAGUGGAGGUGAGGGUGUUUGGUUGGAGCUCCCUACGUACCUGAGGCCUUUCAAAGUUCUAGCAGGAAGAGAUGCAAGAGAAUCCCAGCAAUAGGAAAGUGAUGAAGACCUGACUCUGAGUUGUUUUUGCCCUUAAGCUGGUUGCUCCUGCUUUCCAAACUCAGUGACUUUGAGUUCAUCUAUUUUCCUCAUGGUAGCAAAACCAGCAAAAGCAAAACUCAACACCAAACAGGACUGCCUUUCUGAAUAAUCACAGAUUACUUAGCAGCAUUCUGAAAAUGUUAGCAGAAAGGCAGGGCAUGUGGAGAACACGGAGUGCUGCACAGAACAUUAAUACGUGACCUGUGACAGAGAUGCACUCAGGACCACUAAAAGCGUAAGGACAGGAAAAUGAAUGGUGAAGAAGAUGGCAAUCCUUUGAAAAAUUAAUCCUGGCUGAGUUAUUGCCUAAAGUAAAGCAUCAGGAGUCAAAAAGCUCUGACUGCAGAGGAGGAGGCACUUAGGAAUGAAGUUGAAAAUCUCACUUUUACCGUAUCUGCUGUAAAACACUAUGGAUGGAGCUGGUUGUGGUAUGAAGUGUUAAGCUGAAAGGCAUCCCAGCUUUUCUGAUGAAGAGGAAGGGAGCUGUGGGUAUUCUGGCUACCCAUGGGUAGCCAGAAAUUAUAUAGGAAACUGUAAUGGAUACUGGCAUCUAUUAAAAAAAAAAAAAAAGCAUUGCAUUUUCCUUCCCCCUUCUGCACCUAUGCUGUGCGCCCCCAGCAUCAUCUGUCUCCCUGAGAGCACCGAUGUCCUCUCCAUUCCUUGAUUUCCUUUUAAUGAUAUAUUUUCAUUCUCCUGACAAAAGCAGAAAUCUUAUUAACAUCCUACCAACAUAACUUGAGUCUAUGCUUCUGUACCUCAGACCAGGAGGUGCAGAGUCUCAACAGAACACAGGGAGAAAACACAGAGGUGCCUUUUUUUUUACACUGGUUACACUGAG